CCGUAGCCCAAGAGAUCGGGAUAACACCUGGAAACAGAUGCUAAUACCGGAUAACAACAGAUGAUGCCUAUCAACUGUUUAAAAGAUGGUUCUGCUAUCACUCUUGGAUGGACCUGCGGUGCAUUAGCUAGUUGGUAGGGUAACGGCCUACCAAGGCGAUGAUGCAUAGCCGAGUUGAGAGACUGAUCGGCCACAUUGGGGCUGAGACACGGCCCAAACUCCUACGGGAGGCAGCAGAC
rnacentral:rRNA from 1 species